rnacentral:rRNA from 1 species
UACGUAGGGUGCGAGCGUUGUCCGGAAUUAUUGGGCGUAAAGAGCUCGUAGGCGGUGUGUCGCGUCGGUCGUGAAAACUUGGGGCUUAACCCUGAGCUUGCGGUCGAUACGGGCAUCACUUGAGUUCGGCAGGGGAGACUGGAAUUCCUGGUGUAGCGGUGAAAUGCGCAGAUAUCAGGAGGAACACCGGUGGCGAAGGCGGGUCUCUGGGCCGUAACUGACGCUGAAGAGCGAAAGCAUGGGGAGCGAACAGG